rnacentral:lncRNA from 1 species
GGCGGACUAUUAGUUAUGACCCCGAUACUAUUAACAGCUUUUUGGGCACAGAGUGGCCAGGGGAGCAGUGCCAGUAUGCGGCACAUGCUGGUUUGUUUGGUAACGUAGCUGAAAUUGAGGAGGUUGUGUCUUCCUGGUAGGCAUUUUCAGACUAACGCUAGCGGGGUGAUGAGUCGAUAUUUUCUUGACUGCACUUAGUUUAUUGUAUCGGAUUUAAUCAAGGAGUUUUGCUUAAUUGUCCGAUAUUUUCCCGUUUCUGCUAAUUGUGCUUAAUUUGAUCGGAAAUUCUAAUUUUAAUUAAUUUGAAUUAUCUGAGACUAAUUAU